rnacentral:lncRNA from 1 species
UUGUUUUUCUCCGCGUAGAGACUGCGCCGUGCGCCGCUGUCUGUUGGGAUUGGUCAGCUUGUGUUCUUCUCUGUUUUUUUUUUUUCCUCUCUUCGCCGGAGAGAGGGACCCGAAGUGCUGAUGCGUCGUUGACGCCGCCAGCUUGAAGCCCCUCACCAUCCGCACAGACAUGGGACCAGUGGACGCGCAACUCUCAGUCAUCACGACCCGGACUAUCGGCGGACCAGUGUGUAGCUAAGACAGAAGUCUAUCGUGAGCGGAAACAAAGCUUCUGACUGACCAAAGAGCAAGCGGACGAGGCAAGCGGCAGGAAGCGGACACAGAAGGGCUGUUUGGUCUAACCUCUAGGAAGAUACCAUCACAGGACAUUAGCACCACACACACACACACACACACACACACACACACACACACACACACA